AACGAACGCUGGCGGCAGGCCUAACACAUGCAAGUCGAGCGAGGUAGCAAUACCUAGCGGCGGACGGGUGAGUAACGCGUGGGAACGUGCCCUUUGCUUCGGAAUAGCCCCGGGAAACUGGGAGUAAUACCGAAUGUGCCCUUCGGGGGAAAGAUUUAUCGGCAAAGGAUCGGCCCGCGUUGGAUUAGGUAGUUGGUGGGGUAAUGGCCUACCAAGCCGACGAUCCAUAGCUGGUUUGAGAGGAUGAUCAGCCACACUGGGACUGAGACACGGCCCAGACUCCUACGGGAGGCAGCAGUGGGGAAUCUUAGACAAUGGGCGCAAGCCUGAUCUAGCCAUGCCGCGUGAUCGAUGAAGGCCUUAGGGUUGUAAAGAUCUUUCAGGUGGGAAGAUAAUGACUGUACCACCAGAAGAAGCCCCGGCUAACUCCGUGCCAGCAGCCGCGGUAA
rnacentral:rRNA from 1 species